rnacentral:rRNA from 1 species
UGUGAGGCUGAUGUGUAGGCAAAUCCGCACAUCAUUAAGGCUAGGCUGUGAUGGGGAGCGAAAAUUGCAGUAGCGAAGGUCAUGAGUUCAGGCUGCCAAGAAAAGCCUCUAGCCAGGUGAAGGUGCCCGUACCGCAAACCGACACGUAGGCGAGCAGAGUAUGCUAAGGCGCUCGGAAGAACUCUCGUUAAGGAACUCGGCAAAAUGACCCCGUAACUUCGGGAGAAGGGGUGCCUCGGUAGGGUGAAUAGCCCGAGGGGGCCGCAGUGAAAAGGCCCAAGCGACUGUUUAGCAAAAACACAGGUCUGUGCGAAGCCGUAAGGCGAAGUAUACGGGCUGACGCCUGCCCGGUGCUGGAAGGUUAAGGGGAGUGGUUAGCCGCAAGGCGAAGCUAUGAACCGAAGCCCCAGUAAACGGCGGCCGUAACAAUAACGGUCCUAAGGUAGCGAAAUUCCUUGUCAGGUAAAUUCUGACCCGCACGAAUGGCGUAACGACUUGGGCGCUGUCUCAACGAGAGAUCCGGUGAAAUUUUAAUACCUGUGAAGAUGCAGGUUACCCGCGACAAGACGGAAAGACCCCAUGGAGCUUUACUGCCGCUUGAUAUUGGACUUUGGUACGAUCUGUACAGGAUAGGUGGGAGCCUUGGAAGCCGGAGCGCCAGCUUCGGCGGAGGCAUCGUUGGGAUACCACCCUGAUCGUAUCGGAGUUCUAACCUGGUACCGUGAUCCGGUACAGGGACCGUGUCAGGUGGGCAGUUUGACUGGGGCGGUCGCCUCCUAAAAUGUAACGGAGGCGCCCAAAGGUUCCCUCAGAAUGGCUGGAAAUCAUUCGUAGCGUGCAAAGGCAUAAGGGAGCUUGACUGCGAGACCUACAAGUCGAGCAGGGACGAAAGUCGGGCUUAGUGAUCCGGUGGUACCGCAUGGAAGGGCCAUCGCUCAACGGAUAAAAGCUACCCUGGGGAUAACAGGCUUAUCUCCCCCAAGAGUCCACAUCGACGGGGAGGUUUGGCACCUCGAUGUCGGCUCAUCGCAUCCUGGGGCUGAAGUAGGUCCCAAGGGUUGGGCUGUUCGCCCAUUAAAGCGGUACGCGAGCUGGGUUCAGAACGUCGUGAGACAGUUCGGUCCCUAUCUGUCGUGGGCGUAGGAAAUUUGAGAGGAGCUGUCCUUAGUACGAGAGGACCGGGAUGGACGCACCGCUGGUGUACCAGUUGUUCCGCCAGGAGCAUAGCUGGGUAGCUACGUGCGGACGGGAUAAGCGCUGAAAGCAUCUAAGCGUGAAGCCCCCCUCAAGAUGAGAUUUCCCAGUAUGUAAGACCCCUGGAAGACGACCAGGUUGAUAGGUUCGAGGUGGAAGCGCAGCAAUGUGUGGAGCUGACGAAUACUAAUCGGUCGAGGGCUUAUCC